rnacentral:rRNA from 1 species
UACAGGUGGGGCAAGCGUUGUUCGGAAUUACUGGGCGUAAAGGGUGCGUAGGUGGUUUGUUAAGUCAGGGGUGAAAUCCCGCGGCCCAACCGUGGAACUGCCUUUGAUACUGGCGAACUUGAGUGCGUGAGGGGUAGGGGGAACGAGCAGUGUAGCGGUGAAAUGCGUAGAUAUUGCUCGGAAGGCCAGAGCCGAAGGGGCCCUACUGGUGCGUAACUGACACUGAGGCACGAAAGCGUGGGGAGCAAACAGG